GACUUGAGCUGCUCGCACAAAGCUCCAUUAAAAUGUUUUGUUCGUUCGGCUCGAGUUA
rnacentral:pre_miRNA from 1 species